rnacentral:rRNA from 1 species
AUUGAACGCUGGCGGCAGGCCUAACACAUGCAAGUCGAAUGGUAACAGGAAACAGCUUGCUGUUUCGCUGAGGAGUGGCGGACGGGUGAGUAAUGUCUGUGACACUGCCUGAUGGAGGGGGAUAACUACUGGAAACGGUAGCUAAUACCGCAUAACGUCGCAAGAUCAAAGAGGGGGACCUUCGGGCCUCUUGCCUUCAGAUGUGCCCAGAUGGGAUUAGCUAGUUGGUGGGGUAACGGCUCACCUAGGCGACGAUCCCUAGCUGGUCUGAGAGGAUGACCAGCCACACUGGAACUGAGACACGGUCCAGACUCCUACGGGAGGCAGCAGUGGGGAAUAUUGCACAAUGGGCGCAAGCCUGAUGCAGCCAUGCCGCGUGUAUGAAGAAGGCCUUCGGGUUGUAAAGUACUUUAAGCGGGGAGGAAGGGAGUAAAGUUAAUACCUUGGCUCAUUGACGUUACCCGCAGAAGAAGCACCGGCUAACUCCGUG